UGCAAACUGCCGGAUGGACAACCAGGAACUUGUUGUCCGGAUCUUCGCCGUAACGGUUAUGGCGAAGCUAUCAAGAAAACCAAGAAAAAUGUGAAAUGUGUGAGCAUCAGGGUAUUGACAUUUACUCUGUGAACGCGGCUGCUCACGCGGGUCGCUUCAACAUGAGGUUAAUGGACGAGACGGAGAAAUUCCUUCGCGACAAGAACAUCACCAUCAGACUCAGUUCGUCAUCUUACGCGCAUUUACUUUUCCAGACAGCGACCGAAGCUGAACAUCUUAGUCGUGCCGCAUUAACUAGUAUUGAGACAACCAGAGAACGUGGCAAAAGAUUCGAAAUGACUCCAGCAGAAGAGGCUGGUUUGGGUUUGACUCAAUUCCAUACGAGCUACUACUACGAGCUACAACUUACGAGCUAC